rnacentral:rRNA from 1 species
CAGUCGCCACGGUAAUACAGAGGGUGCGAGCGUUAAUCGGAUUUACUGGGCGUAAAGCGUGCGUAGGCGGCUUUUUAAGUCGGAUGUGAAAUCCCUGAGCUUAACUUAGGAAUUGCAUUCGAUACUGGGAAGCUAGAGUAUGGGAGAGGAUGGUAGAAUUCCAGGUGUAGCGGUGAAAUGCGUAGAGAUCUGGAGGAAUACCGAUGGCGAAGGCAGCCAUCUGGCCUAAUACUGACGCUGAGGUACGAAAGCAUGGGGAGCAAACAGGAUUAGAUACCCGUGUAGUCCCUGUCUCUUAUAU